AAUCAUGGCUCAGGAUGAACGCUGGCGGCGUGCCUAACACAUGCAAGUCGAACGGAGCUGCUUUGAUGAGAUCUUCGGAUGGAUUUAAAACAGCUUAGUGGCGGACGGGUGAGUAACGCGUGGGUAACCUGCCUCACACUGGGGGAUAACAGUUAGAAAUAGCUGCUAAUACCGCAUAAGCGCACAGUUCCGCAUGGAACAGUGUGAAAAACUCCGGUGGUGUGAGAUGGACCCGCG
rnacentral:rRNA from 1 species